rnacentral:lncRNA from 1 species
GCCCAGAACACAGGAGACUCUCCACCAGUAUUUGUGUACUGAAUAAAGGAAUGAAGGAAACCUUCAGGCCUUCCCUCCUCAGAAGAAUCCUAAAAGGAACUUGAUUCAGGGAAAGACUUCAACUCAAAGGGGCUGGUAGGCCAUUUUAAAUGGAACAGAUGGAAGGCCAUCUUCAAAGGUACUGCCUACCUGAACCUGCCUUGUCCCAAAGGACACACUUCAAUCUGGGGAGAGUUUAAAGUUGUAGACAUAUCCAUUUUCAUUUAAGGAAUAUGAAGAUCAGGGAGGCAAAAUAUAGAGAUAUAGAGAGGAAAAACUGAGAGAUGAUCAGAAAUUCAGACGCAUUCGGAAUGAGCACCCUUGACCAUACCAAGAACAAAGACUCUAUAAAAAUGUGAAGUCUUAUUAUUGUUCAUCCAUGUUCUACGUGGGAUCCACCCAAGACAUUGAAAACUGUACAGAACAGGGUGAAAUUGAAUCAGAUCAUUCUGUACUCCUAACAAGGUCCACCCCAUGAGAGACUUGCAGCAGAAUUAAUGACACUGUAUAUUUUCCUCUACUAACAACAACAAGAACAACAACAACAACAAUCUAGGAAAAUCAAAGGCAGCCCGACAUGGAAAAAAACACAAAAUGAAUAUUUGGAUUACAAAUAGUGUGAUGGGAAGAACACACUGCCAAAAGUCCACCUAGUAUGUUGAAAUUACUGUUUCUAGCACAUAUAAGAUUUGCUGCCAAUUUGUACUGACUUCUGAAAAAUACUUUAUCCAUUGUCUUCUUACAUCAGAAUCAACUCCCUAAAUUCUUCAGCACUGGCUUUGUAAACUGGUUUCUGGUCUUUGUUUCUGUCAACUUACCUAUAAAAGGAUACAAAAACUGAAGAACAGAGAGGAGCAGAUACCCUGGAAAGCCGAAAGUUUUAUUGACCAAAGACUGAGUCUCGGAAUGUUUUGAUUGUGGAGUUUAUAGAGUUCAGGCUGAAGUUUUAUAAAAAUAACUUGCAGCAGCAUGGAGGACUGAUGAGAAAGUAGACAGAUGCUGGAAGCAGGAAAACUGAACAGCAGGUCACUGGCCAAGGAGAAUCAAAGAGCUAGAUGCUGAGAAUAAUGCAGCCAUAACGUGAAAUCUUUUUGAGGCUCCGUGGUGGUCUUAAAAUAUAUCCACAAAUUUUCUGACAUCCUCUCUUCAAGAAGUGGAGCUUAAUUCCCUUUCCUUUGAGUGCAGACCACUCACUCUGGGAGAAAGCAACUGGCUAUGUCAUGAGGAAAUUGAAACCACCUAUGGAGAAAGGCCCACAUGGUGAGAAAGUAAAGCCUCUUCCCAAUACCAAAAUUCUGUAAGUCUGCUACGGUGACAUUUCUGGUUAGGAGUCAGAGUGGAUGGGACACUGAGCAAUAAGAAUGCAGAGACAUGAUGGCUGAAGCUGGAGCUUUUCCCUGAAGCAACCACCUGUUGGAAACUUCAUGUUGAAGAUGACUGAAUAAUAAGACAGAGGGGUCUGGGUCCCUGGUGGAUAUUCCAGAUCUGGGUGUUCGUGGAGAUAUGAGAAAGCAAUAAACUUCAAUUUUGCUUAAAUAGCUGUUACUUGGGGCAUUCUGUCAUUUAUGGACA